rnacentral:lncRNA from 1 species
GGUUGGACAAUCAUAUAGAGUAAGUGUCUUCACCUUGAGCAGGGAAAAAAAAAACUAAGUUUUAUCGAUGUGUUCUGAACUUCUGAUGCUCAAUCAUCCAUCAUGCAUCACUGACUUCGAUCUAUAGCUUUUCUUCCUUGCAUAGUCUUCUUCUUCUAUUCUUAAGUGCUCAUGGAAGAUAGACUGUCUCUGAUUCCAGUAUGCUCAUAUAGUUCUCUACUCUAAAAGUGAUACAAAUAGUUCAUUGGACUUCCAAGUACCAUUCCUUCCAACAGUUGUGGUUUCAGUAAAGGCUUUACUUGUUCUAUCAUUAGCAGCUCCAAGUGCAUCAAUGCGAGCUUUAUUCUGCGGACACUAUCCAUUCUUAGUUGGAACUGCAAAAACAGAUGCAGUUUGGAGGGAAAGACAAGCUUGGUGAACCGAUAAUAUCUCAACGACAGCUUGUUUCUUCUACGUGGAAAG